rnacentral:rRNA from 1 species
UGGGUAACCUGCCCGGAAGUGGGGAAUACCUCGGGGAAACUCGAGCUAAUACCGCAUGACAUGUUUAGGACGAAAGUCCUGACGAUCAAAGCGGGGUCGCAAGAUCUCGCGCUACCGGAUGGGCCCGCGCCCGAUUAGCUAGUUGGUGAGGUAACGGCUCACCAAGGCUUCGAUCGGUAACCGGCCUGAGAGGGCGAUCGGUCACACCGGAACUGAGACACGGUCCGGACUCCUACGGGAGGCAG